GAACAAUUCAUCGGCGAUUACAGUGACGGCAGCGGUGAAACCGAUAUGGGCGAAGCAAGCGGAAGAAGCGAAGCUUAAGAGCGAAGCAGAGAAAGAUGCGGCUGCGAAAGCUGCUUUCGAAGCCACUUUUAAGAACGUCGAAACUUCAGCCACUGCGGCCGCGGCCGCAUCCGACAGUGACUUAGACGAUGAGGAAUACGAGCAGAAGAGGCUUGCGGCGAAGCCGAUCGGUCCGGUUGACCCUAUAAAAUGCACAGCCGCUGGCACUGGAAUCGCCGGUGGAACAGCGUGUGCUCCGUCAACUUUCACCGUUGUGACGAAGGAUUCUGAUGGUCGUAAGGUACCACAUGGUGGGGCGCAGGUUAAGAUUAGAGUUUCACCUGGUGUUGGAGUUGGAGGAUCAGAUUUGGAAGGGAUUGUGAAGGAUAUGGGUGAUGGGACAUACACAGUGAGUUAUAUUGUUCAGAAGAGAGGAAAUUAUAUGGUGAAUGUUGAAUGUAAUGGGAAGCCUAUCAUGGGUAGUCCUUUCCCUGUUUUCUUCAGCACAGGCAGUACGACUGGCGGGCUAUUGGGUAUAGUACCAUCAGCCACAUUUCCAAAUAUGGUCAACCAGAACAUGCCUAAUAUGCCAAACUAUUCUGGUUCUGUAUCCGGGGCAGUUCCAGGAUUGCUUGGGAUGAUACCAGGUAUUGUUCCUGGAGCUUCUGGAGGUGUCGUUUUACCUGGAAUUGGAGCAUCUAUUGGGGAAGUUUGC
rnacentral:misc_RNA from 1 species